rnacentral:rRNA from 1 species
GGGGGCGGAUCAUUCCAGCCAUUAUUGCACCGGAUCCCAUUUAGACCUCCUGCAUUUAUGCGUUGCUUGGGCGAGGAGUAGUAAUAGGAUGGGUGACCUCCGGGGAAGUCCUCGUGUUGCACCCC